rnacentral:rRNA from 1 species
AGCAUAUUACUAAGCGGAGGAAAAGAAACCAACGGGGAUUCCCAUAGUAACUGCGAGUGAAAGGGGAAAAGCCCAGCGCCGAAUCCUGCUGCUGGAGACGGUGGCAGGAACUGUGGCGUGAAGAUGGUGUCUAUCGGUGUGGCUCGCUCGCGUAAGUUCUCCUGAGUGAGGCUCCAUCCCAUGGAGGGUGCAAGGCCCGUGUCGUGAGCAGCCGUCGCUGAUGUGCACUUUCAGAGAGUCGCCUUGUUUGCGAGUACAAGGUGAAGUCGGUGGUAAACUCCAUCGAAGGCUAAAUAUGACCACGAGUCCGAUAGCGAACAAGUACCGUGAGGGAAAAUUGAAAAGCACUUUGAAGAGAGAGCGAAACAGUGCGUGAAACCGCUCAGAGGCAAGCAGAUGGGGCCUCGAAGGCAGAGCAUCGAAUUCAGCCGGUUGUCCGUGCGGUUGGGUGGGAGUGGAGAGCGCAAGCCUCUGCCUGCUUGAUUGGUACGGCUGCCGGUGCACUUUCGGUGCUUGUACGCCACCGCCGUUAAGGAGCGUCCGCCGGGUCGGCGUGUGGAGCCUUACUCUUGCAAGAGAGUAGGUGCUCACUGCUGAUCUGUGCGCGCUCGCACUUUAACCGGUCAAGUCAGCAUGUGCCAGCGUUUGCGCUGGGCAAGUCGGCUCCGUGUGGGCUGUGUGGAGAUGACGAGCUUGCUCGGCUCUUCUGCACUCGCCGGACUUGUGCUUGUUUUCAGCGUGGCACAUUGUAGAUUCGGUGGCGAGUAGACGGCUGCCCAUCUAACCCGUC